rnacentral:lncRNA from 1 species
UUCGUUUACUUAUGUGGCGUGAAGACAUAAAGCAAACCUUUGGAGCCAUAGUUGUCUUUUUUGUCAUCUAAAAUAAUAAUGGUAACAUAUUAAUACAAACAAAAUAAUAUUCUAGCUCAAAAAAUUGUAUGUGAAUAAUGAAUGGAUGCUAUGGAACUAUAUUUGUUAUGGAGCUAUGUAUGUAUGGAUGCUAUGGAACUAUAUUUAUAUAUGGAUGCUAUGGAAUUUUGGAUGUAUGGAUGCUAUGAAGUUUUGAUAUAUGGAUCAUGAAAUUUGUUAUGCA